GUCUCUGUAGAGAGGUCUAGAUAACCUCUGCAAUGACACAGGGAAGGUUCGCAUGGCCCCUAUGCAAGGAUGAAACGCAAAUCCGUGAAGUGUCCUGUAGUUUU